GGUUUAAUUCGAAGCAACGCGCAGAACCUUACCAGCCCUUGACAUCCCGGUUUCGGGUUCGAGAGAUCGAGCCUUUCAGUUCGGCUGGACCGGAGACAGGUGCUGCAUGGCUGUCGUCAGCUCGUGUCGUGAGAUGUUGGGUUAAGUCCCGCAACGAGCGCAACCCUCGCCCUUAGUUGCCAGCAUUUGGUUGGGCACUCUAAGGGGACUGCCGGUGAUAAGCCGAGA
rnacentral:rRNA from 1 species